rnacentral:ribozyme from 1 species
AAGCUCUCUCUCUCCCCCCCUUUCCCUUCUCUCCCCGAUGCCCGCUGUACAACUCUAAGCACCGCCGCCACGGUUGAGUUGGGAUCGCAAACGCCGCAUGUGGCGGCGCAGUACUGGUGCAUGUACGACUCUU